UGGGGAAUAUUGGACAAUGGGGGCAACCCUGAUCCAGCAAUGCCGCGUGUGUGAAGAAGGUCUUCGGAUUGUAAAGCACUUUCGACGGGGACGAUGAUGACGGUACCCGUAGAAGAAGCCCCGGCUAACUUCGUGCCAGCAGCCGCGGUAAUACGAAGGGGGCUAGCGUUGCUCGGAAUGACUGGGCGUAAAGGGCGUGUAGGCGGUUUACACAGUCAGAUGUGAAAUCCCCGGGCUUAACCUGGGAGCUGCAUUUGAUACGUGUAGACUAGAGUGUGAGAGAGGGUUGUGGAAUUCCCAGUGUAGAGGUGAAAUUCGUAGAUAUUGGGAAGAACACCGGUGGCGAAGGCGGCAACCUGGCUCAUGACUGACGCUGAGGCGCGAAAGCGUGGGGAGCAAACAGGAUUAGAUACCCUGGUAGUCCACGCUGUAAACGAUGUGUGCUAGAUGUUGGGUAACUUUGUUAUUCAGUGUCGCAGUUAACGCGUUAAGCACACCGCCUGGGGGGUACGGCCGCAAGGUUGAA
rnacentral:rRNA from 1 species